rnacentral:rRNA from 1 species
UACGAAGGGUGCAAGCGUUAAUCGGAAUUACUGGGCGUAAAGCGUGCGCAGGCGGCUUUGCAAGACAGAUGUGAAAUCCCCGGGCUCAACCUGGGAACUGCAUUUGUGACUGCAAGGCUAGAGUACGGCAGAGGGGGAUGGAAUUCCGCGUGUAGCAGUGAAAUGCGUAGAUAUGCGGAGGAACACCAAUGGCGAAGGCAAUCCCCUGGGCCUAUACUGACGCUCAUGCACGAAAGCGUGGGGAGCAAACAGG